rnacentral:ncRNA from 2 species
GGCCACAUGUUCCAAUCCGGCUGAUACAUGCUCAUGACCAGGGGAAGCCGGUGGAAAUCCGGCGCUGACCCGCAACCGUGAGUCCGCCGGGCGGCGGACGAGCCGGACUGCCUGGGAUGGGUGCUCGAU